UGUCCCGUGGUGUAAUGGUAACACAACUGAUUUUGGUUCAGUCAUUCAAAGUUCGAAUCUUUGCGGGAUAA
rnacentral:tRNA from 1 species